UCUGUUGUGGCAAAGUGGUUAAGCAUUUGGCUAUUAACCAAAAGGUUGGCAGUUCAAAUCCACCAGUC
rfam:Loxodonta africana unplaced genomic scaffold scaffold_2, whole genome shotgun sequence.